AUGUUAAAUAGUACUUAUAUUACAAUUAACUCUGAUAUAUUGCACAAUAAUAACUAUUUGAAAUAACAAUAUUAAUAAUAAUGCUAAUAAGAAUACUGGUAUUAAACAUUAACAAAUAAACUAAAUAAAUACAAAUAAACAAAUAAACUAAGUAUUGAUAAUAAUGAAAAAUAAAAUGGCUCUCAAAAAUAGUUGAACUAUUAUUACUAAUGUCACAAAGUAGUCAUUAUAGUUUAAAGAAAAUUUUAGUGUUCAUGGUUUGAAAUUUGAGUGGUAUUGAUGUUCUUUAUAUCUAUAUUGAUAUCAUUUUUUUAUUUAAAUAUGACCAUAGUAAAAGAGUUGAAGGAAUAUUUUACAAUCAGAUAUCCUGUGUUAGUUUGUUUUAUCAGCUUUGCCUACACUCACUUUUUUUAAUUUUCCUUGAAGUUCAUUUUUUUGUUUUUAAAAUGUUUGUAGUGAUUUUAAUUGAAAAGGGAAGUUAUUCUGUGUUUUUGUGAUUCAGGGUUGUUUAGAUUCAAAACUUUAAAACUUUAAUAAUUGAAAUAAAGUUGAUUAUUAUUUUCUCUAUAUAAAAUAAAGAUAUUGAAAUCAGGAGGUUUUCUGUUGUUAGUUUUAAACUAAUAGAGAAUAAUUUAGAAAUUAAUAAAGUAGGGGAUGUUAUAGUUGGAAUCACAGUGUUAGAAAUAAAUUGUUUUCAAGACUUUAAUAAUGAUGAUGAUUUCUAUAUUUUUUUUCUUUUUAGAAUAUCUGAGAUUUAACAAAAUACAAUCAAAGUGGUAACCUUGUUGAAUGGGUAUUAGUGAAAAAAUAUGGAGUUACCAAAUAACAGCAUCAUUUCAUUAUACUGAUGUAAAAAGCAAUAUUGUAUAUUUUAUGUCAAGUCAAUAGAAGUUACUUUUGAUUGCUAUUCUGGAAGUUAAUGAAUUUAAUGUUGAAUAGAUGUAAAUAACAGUUUUAGUGUUUUAAAUGUUGAAUAGAUGUAAAUGACAGUUUUGUGCUACUAAAGAAGAAUACAUUUGUAAUAAAAUGUGAAAGCGACAAAACAAAAAAGUACUUCAUUAGCAAAAUUGUUCAGCCCAUUAAAGUUUUCUUCUUUGUAAAAGCAGCCCUAAAUGUCUGAUAUGUUAAGAGGUUUAAGUUCUUAUGUAUAAAUUUUAACUGAAAAAAAAAAAAUUCACAAACUCAACUAAACCUAUAGCAAUUAUAAGAAGCAUUACCCAAUAAGUGUUAACCAUUAUUGGCAGUUAAUUUUAUAGUUAAAUGUUGGAAUUAAUAAGCAUCUGACCAACAAAUAGUGUGUGCUUCAGAGUUAGCAAGAAAAUUAAUACUCCAUGUCCACUUUCUCUGCCUGUUGAUCAGAUUCUUACAAAUAGAAUCACAUUAAAAGAUGGUUUUACUUUUGGAAGUAGUUUGGAUUUAUUAAUUUUUUUUAUCAGGGGAAAAAACAACUUUCUGCCAAUGAAGUGAACCUAUCGCGGAAACUUACUUUAAUAAAAGAAAAACUAUAGAAUAGCUAAUGAAUUAUUGUAAGGUAAUCUACCUUUUAAAAUAGUUAAAAAUAUAGCAGAAAAUAAAAAAUUUAAA
rnacentral:lncRNA from 1 species